GCUCCGUUAACUCAAUGGUAGAGUAACCGGCUUUUAACCGGUAGGUUGUGGGUUCAAAUCCCAUGCGGAGUA
rnacentral:tRNA from 1 species